CAGCAAUGAUAAGUGUGUUAUACUUAACUCUGCUGCACUAAUCACCACAGAAACGAUUUCAGUAGCAUCUGAGGUGAGAGAACAAGGGACUGUCCCAUUCAGGGAAGAGACAGUUACAUUUUAGGCUUCAAUAUAUAGAAACAUAGUUUGUAAUCAAAGCUAUAGAAUAUUCUAUCUAUCUAUCUAGCAUCUUACUGACACCAUUGGGACCCAGAACUGCACAGAUCAUGGUAAAAAUCAUCCAAAAAGGCAAAAGACCAUAACAGAACUGAGGGUCGUCACUCGUCCC